CAGUAGCCACGGUAAUACGGAGGGUGCAAGCGUUAAUCGGAAUUACUGGGCGUAAAGCGCACGCAGGCGGUCUGUCAAGUCAGAUGUGAAAUCCCCGGGCUUAACCUGGGAACUGCAUUUGAAACUGGCAGGCUAGAGUCUUGUAGAGGGGGGUAGAAUUCCAGGUGUAGCGGUGAAAUGCGUAGAGAUCUGGAGGAAUACCGGUGGCGAAGGCGGCCCCCUGGACAAAGACUGACGCUCAGGUGCGAAAGCGUGGGGAGCAAACAGGAUUAGAUACCCGUGUAGUCCCUGUCUCUUAUAC
rnacentral:rRNA from 1 species